CCAGGACAAUCUGCUUUAGAUGCAUAAAAUUGGCACACCAUGGCAACCCGCUUUAGAUGCAUAAAAAUGGCACAUCAUGGCAAUCAGCUUUAGAUGCAUACAAUUGGCACACCAUGACAAUCAGCUUUAGAUGCAUAGAACUGGCACACGGUGGCAAUCCGGUUACAAGCAUAAACUAGGCACAUCAUGGCAAUCCGCUUUAGGGGCAUACACUUGGCACACUAUGGAAAUCAGUUUUAGAUGCAUAAAAGUGGCACACCAUGGCAGUUUUAGAGGCAUACAAUUGGCACACCAUGGCAAUCCGCUUUAGAUGCAUACAAUUGGUACACCAUGACAAUCCGCUUUAGAUGCAUACAAUUGGCACACCAUGGCAAUUGGCUUUAGAAGCAUAAACUAGGCACAUCAUGGCAAUCCGCUUUAGGGGCAUACACUUGGCACACUAUGGAAAUCCGUUUUAGAUGCAUAAAAGGGGCACACCAUGGCAGUUUUAGAGGCAUACAAUUGGCACACCAUGGCAAUCCACUUUAGAUGGAUA